rnacentral:rRNA from 1 species
AACGAACGCUGGCGGCAUGCCUAACACAUGCAAGUCGAACGAGACCUUCGGGUCUAGUGGCGCACGGGUGCGUAACGCGUGGGAACCUGCCCUUAGGUUCGGAAUAACUCCCCGAAAGGGGUGCUAAUACCGGAUAAUGUCUUCGGACCAAAGAUUUAUCGCCUUUGGAUGGGCCCGCGUUGGAUUAGCUAGUUGGUAGGGUAAAAGCCUACCAAGGCGACGAUCCAUAGCUGGUCUGAGAUGAUGAUCAGCCACACUGGGACUGAGACACGGCCCAGACUCCUACGGGAGGCAGCAGUGGGGAAUAUUGGACAAUGGGCGAAAGCCUGAUCCAGCAAUGCCGCGUGAGUGAUGAAGGCCUUAGGGUUGUAAAGCUCUUUUACCCGGGAUGAUAAUGACAGUACCGGGAGAAUAAGCUCCGGCUAACUCCGUG